GAGAUGCGCACACGCACACACGUGCUUGACUUGCCUUUAAUUCCUCGCCAAAACACACACACACACAUACGCACAGACACGCACUGACACGAGAGGAGCUGACGCGUAGCAGCAGGAACGACCCACGAGAUCACAAAGAACACAUUCGGCUCUCUUUCUCUUCUUCAGACCCACUCGCACUAGAACGUGCAUCCACGUGCGCACAUCGGGGAAUCUGAACGCUGGGGCUUUCGUGCAGCCUCCAUGCGGAGACACUCGACUUUUCUGCUGGCGCCGCCGCACCGGCACCAGCAAUGCUGCCUUCUCGCUUUAGUGGCGCUUCUCGCGAUCUUGCUGCUUGCCUCGCCGACUGUACUCGCAGCGCCACCACCUCAAGGCAAACCAAUUCGUCCGCUGCACGGAGCCGGCUACGAGCACUUGGACUGCUCCGCUUGCAUCACCGUCGCACGCACGUUGUUUGAGCGCCUUAACCAGACCCUCGCAGAGAACCCCUCCACCUACCUCAUCUCGCACCGACUCGGCAAGAAAAAUCAGCUGCGUCGGCGCCAAUACCGCAACAGCGAGCUUCUCGUGACCGAGGUGAUGGAGAACGUGUGUACCUCCUACAAGAACGAUGCUCGCUUGCUGCGGCUGCAUCCAAAGUCGAAGGUGCGCCUGUAUCACCAGCAGGUUUUCGGGGACACCCGUCUCGGUGUGCGACACGCGUUGCGUGAGGAUGAGGUGUACCCGGCCGACGCCGAUUCGGCGGCGUGGGCUGAGAAGCUCGAUGGGCAACUAUACCCCAUUGCGAGGUUGUACAGCCGGCAAGAUGCGGAUGCGUUACAAGGAUUGCAGAGCCUGUCUGCGACGCCUACAAUGUGUGCGCUGCUGGUGGAAGAGUUUGAGGACGAGAUCGAGAGCCUUGUCAAGAGUGUGCGCAGUCUGGAAGAGACGGAGCACAGCCUGUGCGGUAUGGCGCUUCCCGUGAACAAGCCCCGCACAGCGCUGGACGGGGAGACCGAGGGAGAUGAGGUGAGUUCAGCUCCUCUCAUCACCAACGUGUGCGCCGAUGUGGAGGUGCUGCGGGCCGCCGCCCGCCGGGAUCAGCAAAGAUGGGAGCAGUAUGAGCGCCGCGAAGCAAAGAGGAAGGCGAAGCUUGACCAGAGACGGAAGCUGGAAACGACUGCUGCCGCUGCCACGAGUGAGCCUGCGGAGGAGGCACCAACAAAUGCAGAGGCGGCAGCGGCCCUUGCGAGCUCAGCUCCAGGGGCUCCAGGCGAGCCUAUUGACUCCCCUACAGAGGAGGCGCCUUACAGCUCUGCCGAUGGAGCUGUCAAAGAAGCGGCCGAGGACCGCACUGAUGGCGACCUUUGAAUGAGUUUCAGGUGCCUCUGUAAUUGUGCAUGUGUAUGCGUGUGUCUUUUUGUUUGUGCUGCGACAGACAUGAGGAAAGGGUCAUCAGGUGGUCAGUGCUUGCGCUGACCGCUGCGCGCGCGAUGCUGCAGGGGCGCGCACAUGUUAUCGCUCACCUUCCUCUCCCUUGCACAGCCUGCAGUCCGCCGUGAGGGCUCUCUCCCGCGUCCUGUACUGCACACGCAUGCGAAGACGCCGUUAAUGUUUCCAGUAGUGUAUACAACGACGGAGGACAAUGUGUCUCUCCUCCCGAACCCUCUUCCCCUCCCGUCAUUUCGCCUUUGCCUCAACGCACUGGCCACGCAUUUUCUUUUAUUGUUUCGCAGUUGAUGCGUCUCGCUCUUUCGAGAGCUCUCUUCACAAGAGCUGAGCACGUGCACAUAUUCUUCUUCUGGGCUUCAUCACGUCGCGGGUAUCACAGCCUGCAACGGCGCAUGCAAGACUGACAGCAAGCGCGAAAACACAAAAAGUGGCAGAGGGGGAGAGUAAGAUGGGAGUAAGGAUGAGGUGCACUCAGUGUGCCGCCACAUUCACUUCGCUACACACUUCUCUCUCUUUGAGUUUCACGACAGAGUCUGCCGAGCCAUGAAGGCUGGCAUAGG
rnacentral:misc_RNA from 1 species